UACGUAGGGUGCAAGCGUUGUCCGGAAUUAUUGGGCGUAAAGAGCUCGUAGGCGGUCUGUCGCGUCUGCUGUGAAAACUCGGGGCUUAACCCCGGGCCUGCAGUGGGUACGGGCAGACUAGAGUGCGGUAGGGGAGACUGGAAUUCCUGGUGUAGCGGUGAAAUGCGCAGAUAUCAGGAGGAACACCUGCGGCGAAGGCGGGUUGCUGGGCUGACACUGACGCUGAUGCGCGAAAGCCAGGGGAGCGAACGGG
rnacentral:rRNA from 1 species